UUAAAACUAGUUUACAUACACUGAGGUUGGAGUCAUUAAAACUAGUUUACAUACACUGAGGUUGGAGUCAUUAAAACUAGUUUACAUACACUGAGGUUGGAGUCAUUAAAACUAGUUUACAUACACUUAGGUUGGAGUCAUUAAAACUAGUUUACAUACACUCAGGUUGGAGUCAUUAAAACUAGUUUACAUACACUGAGGUUGGAGUCAUUAAAACUAGUUUACAUACACUUAGGUUGGAGUCAUUAAAACUAGUUUACAUACACUUAGGUUGGAGUCAUUAAAACUAGUUUACAUACACUCAGGUUGGAGUCAUUAACACUAGUUUACAUACACUGAGGUUGGAGUCAUUAAAACUAGUUUACAUACACUCAGGUUGGAGUCAUUAAAACUAGUUUA